rnacentral:rRNA from 1 species
AUUGAACGCUGGCGGCAGGCCUAACACAUGCAAGUCGAGCGAGCGGCGGACGGGUGAGUAAUGUCUGGGAAACUGCCCGAUGGAGGGGGAUAACUACUGGAAACGGUAGCUAAUACCGCAUACCAUCAGAUGUGCCCAGAUGGGAUUAGCUAGUAGGUGGGGUCACGGCUCACCUAGGCGACGUUCCCUAGCUGGUCUGAGAGGAUGACCAGCCACACUGAAACUGAGACACGGUCCAGACUCCUACGGGAGGCAGCAGUGGGGAAUAUUGCACAAUGGGCGCAGGCCAGAUACAGCCAUGCCGCGUGUGUGAAGAAGGCCUUCGGGUUGUAAAGCACUUUCAGCGGGGAGGCGUUACCCGCAGAAGAAGCACCGGCUAACUCCGUGCCAGCCGCCGCGGUAAUAC